rnacentral:rRNA from 1 species
UACGGGGGGAGCAAGCGUUGUUCGGAUUUACUGGGCGUAAAGGGCGCGUAGGCGGCCACCGCAAGUCGGUUGUGAAAUCUCCGGGCUUAACCCGGAAAGGUCAAUCGAUACUGCGGGGCUAGAGUGCAGAAGGGGCAACUGGAAUUCUCGGUGUAGCGGUGAAAUGCGUAGAUAUCGAAAGGAACACCUGCGGCGAAGGCGGGUUGCUGGGCUGACACUGACGCUGAAGCGCGAAAGCUAGGGGAGCGAACGGG